UACGUAGGGUGCAAGCGUUGUCCGGAAUUAUUGGGCGUAAAGAGCUUGUAGGCGGUUUGUCGCGUCUGCUGUGAAAUUUCGGGGCUCAACCCCGAACUUGCAGUGGGUACGGGCAGACUAGAGUCGGUGAGGGGAGUAGUGGAAUUCCCGUGGUGAGCGGUGAAAUGCGCAGAUAUCAGGAGGAACACCGAUGGCGAAGGCAGGUCUCUGGGCCACUAACUGACGCUGAGAAGCGAAAGCGUGGGGGAGCGAACAGG
rnacentral:rRNA from 1 species